AGUGAACGCUGGCGGCAUGCCUAAUACAUGCAAGUCGAGCGGCAGCACAGUAAGCUUGCGCCCUUACGGGUAGCGAGGGGCGGACGGGUGAGACAUACAUCGCCUUCUUAUAUUACUUGGGGGACAACGGAGAAAAAGUUACACUAAUAGCUCAUAUAAUCUACGGCAUAGAGCAGUAGAUCAUGGCACCUUUCGUGUUACAUUUAGACGAUGUCGCAUUAGCUAGUUGGCGAGGUAAGGGCCCACCAAGGCGACGAUACGUAGCUGGUCUGAGAGGAUGAUCGGCCACACUGGAACUGAGACACGGUCCAGACUCCUACGGGAGGCAGCAGUGGGGAAUCUUGGGCAAUGGGCGAAAGCCUGACGGAGCAACGCCGCGUGAGUGAAGAAGGUCUUCGGAUUGUAAAACUCUGUUGUUAGGGAAGAAAAAAUGCAGAAGUAACCAUCGACGUUUUGACGGUACCCAAAGAGAAAGCAACGGCUAACUACGUG
rnacentral:rRNA from 1 species